ACAGUAAAAAUAGAUGGGUUAUUUUUUUAACCCAAUAGAUGGGUUACACAUAUUGGGUCACUAUGUUGGGUUAUUUUCUAAAACGUUGGGUUAUUUUUUAAACAUCGUUGGGUUGUUUUUAAUAAUAACCCAGCGUUGGGUUUAAUUGGUUCCCGCGGCGACAGUUCAAAUUUUAACGGACGACGGUGACUGACGACAGAAGAAGCUGCUGCUGCAUCAGUAUGAGACAUUGGGUUCUUCAGUGAAGGGAAAACUACAACACUGGAAUCUCAUACAUUAAACAUCCACAUGCCAAUUAACUGAAAUAUUUCAAGAGGAAGGAGUGAAUGAAGGAAGUUUUAUGCGACCGGAUGACACCAGCAUUUCUGCACUAACU